rnacentral:rRNA from 3 species
GGACUACUGGGGUUUCUAAUCCCGUUCGCUACCCUGGCUUUCGCGCCUCAGCGUCAGAAGAGAUCCAGCACGUCGCUUUCGCCACCGGCGUUCCUUCGGAUAUCAACGCAUUUCACCGCUCCACCCGAAGUUCCACAUGCCCCUACCUCCCUCGAGACCCGCGGUUUCCAAGGCACUUCCCCAGUUAAGCUGGGGGCUUUCACCCCGGACCUGCGAGCCCGCCUACGCGCCCUUUAAGCCCAGUGAUUCCGAACAACGUUCGCACGGUUCGUCUUACCGCGGCGGCUGGCAC